UGGGGAAUAUUGCACAAUGGACGGAAGUUUGAUGCAGCGACGCCGCGUGGAGGGUGUAGGCCUUCGGGUUGUGAACUCCUUUUUCUCGCGAAAAAGGCACAGUUUUGGCUGUGUUGAUGGUAGUGGGGGAAGAAGCGCCGGCUAACUACGUGCCAGCAGCCGCGGUAAUACGUAGGGCGCGAGCGUUGUCCGGAUUUAUUGGGCGUAAAGAGCUCGUAGGUGGUUCGUCGCGUCUGUCGUGAAAGCCAGCAGCUUAACUGUUGGUCUGCGGUGGGUACGGGCGGGGUUGAGUGCGGUAGGGGUGACUGGGAUUCCUGGUGUAGCGGUGGAAUGCGCGGAUAUCAGGAGGAACACCGAUGGCGAAGGCAGGUCACUGGGCCGUUACUGACACUGAGGGGCGAAAGCGUGGGGAGCGAACAGG
rnacentral:rRNA from 1 species